rnacentral:tRNA from 1 species
GGUGGCUCAGCUGUAGAGUGCUUGCCUUGCAUGCAUGAGGCCCUGGGUUCAAUUCCUCAGCACCA